GACAGAGGGUGCAAACGUUGUUCGGAUUUACUGGGCUUAAAGGGCGCGUAGGCGGCAGAUCAAGUCCGGGGUGAAAUCCUCCAGCUUAACUGGAGAAGUGCCUUGGAUACUGAUUUGCUCGAGGGAGGUAGGGGUCGAGGGAACUUCUGGUGGAGCGGUGAAAUGCGUUGAUAUCAGAAGGAAAGCCGGGGGCGGAAGCGCUCGACUGGAUCUCUUCUGGCGCUGAGGCGCGAAAGCUAGGGGAGCAAACAGG
rnacentral:rRNA from 1 species